GCAGACAUUUACUUAUUAAAAGUGCUGUUAGGUAGGCAAUAGGGUUUGAUACAUAGCUGAAGUGUGUAUCUGAAUUGUUUCUUUCUCACUUUAAGCAGGUAACGGUCCACGGCUUCACGGUCCAGAUGGGCGUUAAGUCCAUUUCUUCCAGCGUCUUUGUCCCGCGCCAGCACCACUCCCACUCUCUGGCCAAUGGGUGUGUCCUCUGGAAUAUUCACCGACAAAUCAGAAGUGAUGUCAAACUCUGGACUGUUAUCAUUCUCGUCAAGUAUGGUGAUUGACACCUGUCAAAAGAACAGAGCAGUGGGACCUGAGAUGUUACCUUUUCUUGCAAGAAUAUUGCAAUUUGUUGCAUGAAAAAUUAUCUGGUGACUAAGAAUGACUUAUUUACCUUCUGCAUGUGUGCAUCAGGCAGGAAAUUAGAAAAGAGAGAAUACAGCAGGUUGAAUUAAAUGUUAAUAUAGACCAUCAGAAUUGUCAUAUAUACCAGCAUUCAUGUGUUAGAAGUUGGAUACAAUCAUGUAAUAAUAUUACAUCAUUUUGGCAUCUUUACAGACAACAUGAAAUCAAAACUGACCCUAUUUACUUUCUUAAAGGAAUAUUCUGGAUUAAACACAUGCGGGUUAAACACAUGAAAUGCUCAGUUGACAGCAUUUGUGGUAUAAUAUUUAUUACCACAAAAAUUAAUUUCGACUCAUUCCUCCUUUUCUUUAAAAAAGCAUAAUGCUAGGUUACAAUGAGGCACUUACAAUGGAAGUAAAUGGGGGUCAAUCUGUAAAUGUUAAAAUACUCACUAUUUCAAAAGUAUAACCAGAAGCCAUAAACAAUAUGUGUAACAUGAUUUUAGUGUGUUAAAAUCAAUUACUAACCUUAAUCUUCACAUUUCUGCCUAUAAACCAUCCAAAAAAUAAAUAAAAUAAAUGCCCCUA